UCGGACGGGGUGAGUAACGCGUGAGAAUCUAGCUUCAGGUUCGGGACAACAGUUGGAAACGACUGCUAAUACCGGAUGUGCCAAGGGUGAAAGGCUUGCUGCCUGAAGAAGAGCUUGCGUCCGAUUAGCUAGUUGGUGAGGUAAAGGCUUACCAAGGCAUCGAUCGGUAGCUGGUCUGAGAGGAUGACCAGCCACACUGGGACUGAGACAAGGCCCAGACUCCUACGGGAGGCAGCAGUGGGGAAUUUUCCGCAAUGGGCGAAAGCCUGACGGAGCAAUACCGCGUGAGGGAAGAAGGCUCUUGGGUUGUAAACCUCUUUUCUCAGGGAAUAAAAAAAUGAAGGUACCUGAGGAAUAAGCAUCGGCUAACUCCGUGCCAGCAGCCGCGGUAAUACGGAGGAUGCAAGCGUUAUCCGGAAUGAUUGGGCGUAAAGCGUCCGCAGGUGGUACAACAAGUCUAGUGUCAAAGACCGGGCUCAACCCCGGAAAGGCGGUAGAAACUGUUGAACUAGAGGGUCGUAGGGGUAGAGGGAAUUCCCAGUGUAGCGGUGAAAUGCGUAGAGAUUGGGAAGAACAUCGGUGGCGAAGGCGCUCUACUGGACGGCAACUGACACUCAGGGACCAAUGCUAGGGGAGCGAAUGGGAUUAGAUACCCCCUUAGUCAC
rnacentral:rRNA from 1 species